AACGAACGCUGGCGGCAUGCCUAACACAUGCAAGUCGAACGAGACCUUCGGGUCUAGUGGCGCACGGGUGCGUAACGCGUGGGAACCUGCCCUUAGGUUCGGGAUAACUCCCCGAAAGGGGUGCUAAUACCGGAUAAUGUCUGCGGACCAAAGAUUUAUCGCCUUUGGAUGGGCCCGCGUUGGAUUAGCUAGUUGGUAGGGUAAAAGCCUACCAAGGCGACGAUCCAUAGCUGGUCUGAGAGGAUGAUCAGCCACACUGGGACUGAGACACGGCCCAGACUCCUACGGGAGGCAGCAGUGGGGAAUAUUGGAAAAUGGGCGAAAGCCUGAUCCAGCAAUGCCGCGUGAGUGAUGAAGGCCUUAGGGUUGUAAAGCUCUUUUACCCGGGAUGAUAAUGACAGUACCGGGAGAAUAAGCUCCGGCUAACUCCGUG
rnacentral:rRNA from 1 species